rnacentral:piRNA from 1 species
UGAGUGACCAGAUCAUUGACAGUGAGC